GCUCAGUUUAAGUCAACCUUCUCUGAUCGUCUUGCCGUCUGCCCUAGGGUCUGGGAUGCCGGCUGGGAACUGCACAGCCUCCUCGGGCUUCUGUACAGCAUUUCGGCGGGGUGCUCUCUGCGAGAGCUCCCCCGCAAGCUGUCCAGGGUUGACUGAUGGCUCGUUGGUGAUUCUUUCUUAUCUGCUCUCCUUAAACAUGCCUCGCUCUAUCUCCAGAUCUGAAGGCUGGAGAGUUGGCAGGUUGCAACACCCCUCAGGGAAACUCUGUGUCUCGAUCUGUGGGGCCUCUGCAGACCAAAAGGACAAGCCACGUACACAGCUUUCUGCGGAUGGGGAAAGAGGAGCGAGACAACAGACAAAGUUCUACAGAGAACCUCUUCCAUCAGUCUGGAUUCCGGGAUGAGAAC
rnacentral:lncRNA from 1 species